AUCAAGGGAGAAGUCAGUCCCUGUCAGAUCAGUUCCUGAUGGGCAUUCUCCAGUCCACACUAUUGCAUCUGAUUGGAGGCUAUGCAAAAUUUCCCAGAGACAAUGAAUUUUGACGACAGACUUCUUGGUGUCCACUGUACCCAUGGUUUCAACAGGACUGGCUACCUCAUGUGCAGAUAUUUGAUUGAUGUAGAAGGCAUGUGGCCAGAUGAUGCAAUUGAAUACUGGUGUUUUAUCUUUACAAGUUCUCCGUCAUUCCAUAAGAAAGCUGCUCGUCUUCUGGUUUCAUAAGAGAUGGUGAACAGUGGUAAAAUAUCCAGUUGACCGAAAUUUCUAGAGUACACUUCAGGGAGCGAGUGAUGGGGUGGAAUGUUGGGGCAGAGUGAGAGAUACAGAUUCUGGUGAGACUGAGAGUCAUGCACAAAAAUUACUGGGCUGUGGUGAAGGGAGAACAAAACUAAAUCAGGUUCCUGCUGGUGGACAGGAAGCCAAGAUGAAGAAGAAUGGUGCGUAGCUGGGCAGUGUAAUUAGGCCCCUAAGUGCUGUGUCUCCUGAUAGUAAUUAUGAACAGAAACCAAAUAAUAGUUACUAAUAACAUGGAGGUGACCAAUCCUUGAGAGCUGAGGCAGAGAGAAGGAAAGAUGGCAUUAUGCCUUGUCUCUGGUGCCUUGAGUUUCCCAGGCUGGUUUGUGACCAAUCUUGGGUGAAAUCAUAACUAAGUCAUUUCUGCUAAGGUGAUCAGCUUUCGUGGGGUCCUUUCUCUGCACUCUGUCCAAUGGUAAAGCCCACUGGUUUAUGCCUCCUGGAAAACAGUUAUUCCAAAGCAGUAUAAGUGAAGCAUUGAUGAAACAGCCAUGAAGAGCAUGUUUCCACAUGGCCUCGCACCACCUUUUCAAAGUGCUGUAAAACUUUUUUCAUCCAAAAAUCAGUAACAGAAAAGGAUUGGGAUCAAAUCCCGUACAGAGGUAGUGUAAGAAAAAAGAGAAUAAGGAGCAGAAUAGCAUGUCUUCAGACAAUAAAAUCAAGUUGGAAAAGACAGGUCCACAAAACAGAUCAAAACUGUAACCUAUUAUUUCAAAGUGGGCUAAAAGAUGUUAGGAAAAACAAUGCGAAAGAUGAAAGAACAUGGAUCGAGGAGGGAAUGGGAAGUUAUUGUUUAGUGGCUAUAGAGUCUCUGUUUGGGAUGGUGGAAAAGUUCUGGAAAUGGUAAAUGCUGAUAAAUGCCACCUAUGGGUGUUUGGUUUUAGUUGAUCUUCUUCCAUGAAAGGGUUUGGAGAGAUUCAGAAGCUAUGCUGCUGCCUCCAUCUUUCUGAUGUCCUGCUCAAUCUUUUGACAUAAUUAUUUUGAAUUUGCACAGUGGUGAUGGUUGCACAGCAUUGUGAAUGUAUUUAAUGUCACUGAAUUGUAUACUUGAAAAUGGUUGAAAUAAUAAAUUUUGUUUUAUGUAUAUUUUACCAUAAUAAAAAAAAGAUGAAAGAACAGCAUAAACCAGAAUUAGGUAAGAUGAUAGAACUCAAGACAGAAUUCAAAAUAAAAGAAAAAAGUUUCAGAAAUGAGGACUAAAUUUAAAAUAAUACAAGAGUGGGGACUUCCCUGGUUGUCCAGUGGUUAAGAAUCCACCUUGCAGUGCAGGGGAUGCAGGUUCGGUCCCUGGUUGGGGAACUGAGAUCCCACAUGCUGCAGGGCAACUAAGCCCGCACGCCGCAACUACUGAGCCCACGUACUCUGGAGCCCACGCGCCACAACUGGAGAGCCCACGAGCCGCAAGGAAGAGCCCACGCACUGCAACAAAGAGCCCACGUGCUGCAACUAAUACCCGACACCUCCAAAAAUAAAUAAGUUAAUUAAUUAAAUAAAUUAAAUAAAAUAAUACGAGUGAAUGAACAUAAUGGAUAAUGCCUUAAGAGAAACAAACAAGAAGAGGAAAAAAAUUUUUUAAAUCAAAAAGAAGAUAAAAAGAAUUUUAGAGAAAUGGCAAACAUAACAGAUAGGCAAGAAAGAGUCAGGACAGCUCUGAAAAGAGAAAUAUAAAUACGUAUAAGGGGCUUUCCUGGUGGUGCAGUGGUUAAAAAUCCUCCUGCCAAUGCAGGGGAUAUGGGUUCGAUCCCUGGCCCAGGAAGAUCCCACAUGCCAUGGAGAAGCUAAGCCCGUGAGACACAACUACUGAGCCUGUGUGCCACAACUACUGAAGCCCACGCGCCUAGAGCCCGUGCUCGGCAACACGAGGAGCCACCGCAAUGAGAAGCCCGCUUGCCGCAACUAGAGAAAGCCUGCGCACAGCAACAAAGACCCAAAGCAGCCAAAAAUAAAUAAAUAAAUACAUUAAAAAAUAUAUAUAUAUAUAUAUAUAUAUACGUAUAAGAAUCUGUUAUACCAUAAAAGUGACAUUUCAAAUCAGUGGGACAGAUUAGUCAAUAAGUUGUGAUACAUAAAUGUUGGGGUAUAAAUAUUUCUCUGGAAGGAUCCACAGCACGGCCAAAGCAGAUGUCUCUGAGGAGGGAAAUGUGUGGCUGGGGAAUGUGGGGAAAAGGGUCACUUUUCAUUGAAUACCCUUGUGUACCUUUUCUAGUGUUCUGUCAUGUGAAUCUAUUACCUCUGAAGUUUGCCUGAGUUCAAACCCCAGUUCCCCCAAUUGCUAGCUCUUAAUCUAGGGCAAACUCUUCACACUCUCCAAGCCUCUUAAUCUGUGAAGUAAGGUCAGUAACUCAGCCUGGUGCUGCCUGGCACAGAAUAAACUCUCAAAAAAUGGACAUUAUUAGUGAAAAAAACCCAAAUGCCCAUCAGUGGAUGAAUGGAUUUUUUAAAUGUGGUGGAUAUGUGAAAUAUUAUACAGCCAUAAAAAGGAAUGAAGUACUAACACAUGCUACAACAUGGACGAACUUGAAAACAUUAUGCUAAGUGAAAGAAGCCAGAGACAGCGGUCACAUUCAUUUGUAUUAUUUCAUGAAAUGUCCAGAAAAGGCAAAACCAUAGCAACAGAAAGCAAAUUAAUGGUUGCCAGGGCUGAAGGAAGAGGGGAUGAAGAGUGCCUGCUCAUGCUUAAGGGGGCUUCUUUUUGGGGUGAUGAAAACGUGAUGGGUUAGAUGCCGGUGAUGGUUGCAUAGGCUUGUGGAUGUACUAAAUGACACUGAAUUUGCAGUUUCAGAAGGUGAAUUUUAUGGCAUGUGAAUGACAUCUCAAAAAAAUAAUUUUGAAAAUGAAAAUUGCCCAUUUUCCCAUAGUCACUAUCCACUGUCUCCAUCUCUCCCUUCUCCCCACUGCAUUCCUUUUCACGCCCAGCCCUGCCGCUCUCUCCCAUCGUCACUCCCUCGAGCUGCCCCACGAGGCCUCCCAGGGAGCCUCUGAACCCCUGGGCGCCUGCGUCCUGUGGCUGUUGGAGCUGCUGCCCAGUGCGCGUGCCCCCACCACUCUCACCCGUGAGAGUGGACGCUUCCGUCGGAUUUUUUCUCAUGCGUUUCAGUAGAUGGUGAUGUUUACAAAAGGCGGCACGUGCCCUGCUCAAUGGAGGAAGCCCCUCAAGUUAAUAUUUAGGCGCGUGCAGAAGUUUGAUCUCGUCCACCAGUAACCUCAGGAUGCUGUGCUCUGAAAGCCAGGUUGGCCGCCUACGGGCAUCUGCAAAUACAGAGGACUUCAGAGGCAUUUGGGCCUCAAAUUGAGUCCUUGUACCUCCACAUGGGAUGUGACCUCAGCCCUUUGCUGCACCUCUGUAAGUGAAGUGGCACAGGAAUACCGGCCUUGCCUGUCUUUGCCAAGGUUAACUGAAGAGCGCAUUCGCUCCCCUCGUGCUUAGGUGUUGAGUACAUCGUGAUUUACAUACCAGGCCCUAUUCGUGGGCCUCCUGAUGCAGCAGUUUCCUUGGCUCUGCCCCUGUCGUCAGCUGCCCCUAGGAUAACUCUGAGCCCUAGCCACUUCUCUGGUAGAUUUCCCUAUUCCCCCACUACAGUCACACCUGAAUAAGGCGACUCAGACCUUUCAGAGAUGUGUCCUGAACCUCUUGUUUUCUGAAAUACCUAUCUGGUGGUUGUGAGACUUAAGGCCAGCGUCCCCGAGAGACUUUUUCUAUUUCUCCUAGUAAACCUAGACUCCUCUUCUGUCACCUUCAACUCUACUCCAAUUGUGUUCUUUCAACCCAGACCUCUGACCCUGCUUUUUACUUCUGCCAUUUCAUCCUCACUCCUGCUUCCUUUCCUAAAUCCAUACGUCUCUUUUGGCCUUCCUAGCCCUGGGCCAAGUUCCUUCCUCUUUGCUCAGUUUUUACCCCUUUCCUUCAUUCUCCCAUCCAACUUUCAGUCCUUCCUUUCUCACGCCCCAGUUAGCAGCAUCUGAAAAUUCGAAAGGUUUGUUACUCGUCUAUUAAUUGUAUUCCAUUUACUUAUUCAGUUCUAUACCUGUCUUACCUGUGUAUGGAAGAACAGCUGGUAGCCAAGGUGGCACCAAGAAUCCUAGCAGCUCUCACUUGACGUAUCCGUAGUAGUCGGCAAUUUCCAUUUCGUUUUCCCUCUCGGUGAAAAAUUGCAGCUUCCCCGAAGAGGUGUAUCUGGCAGCAUUCUCACGUUGUUGAGCCCGCCUCUUCAUGGCCUCUCGCUCUGGCCUCUGCUCUUGUUCGAUGGGCUUUGACAUGACUGGCUCAGGCACAUUGGGUUCCCUCCAUGGAACUCGUUGCUUGCUGAAGUCUUGGCAUAGAAGUUGGGUUUGGAGCUUGGAUGGGGCCUGGCGCUUAGUCACAGCAGGGGGAACAGGCUCCCGCUGGAGAGAAGCGCCAGAUGAAGUUUUGUAGGGUGCAGGCCUAAGAGCAGCAGACUGAGGGGACACGAGGCUGGGUAUGGUUGGUCCAAGCCGGUUGGGUUGGGUUGGUCACAGUUGGCUGAGCUGGUUUGGCGGGGCCUGGCAGAGAGGCAGGAGCUGGCUGGGAUGAAUUGACUGCAGCAGGUUGCGCUGAGUCAGUAGAACCAGGCUGGGCACGGUAAGCCCCAGCAGGCCGAUGUGAGGCCAGAGACUGUGGCCUCCGAGGAGCGGGUCGAGCUUGAGGCUUGUCCCAGGCAGAAAAAGGCAGAGGUAUCAACUUGACCUUCCCAGGAGGAGGCCGCUCAUACUGGGAUGAGGAUAGACACUCUGUUUCAGCACUGCUGACUGGUUUCUGGGCUUCGACUUGAGUUUUCUCAGCACUCUUACCCUCAUGUGGGGUAUGCCGCCAUGGCUGGAUGGCUGGGGGUCUUUGGGGUUGCUUGACUUUCCCAAGACCCGACAGGAAGAGAGCCCAGUUUUCUUAUCAUCCUUCUUCCCCAGCGCAUGAAGAACCUUCACAGACUCCAGCAUGCGCACGCCUAGGGAGGUUCGAGGCUUUUGAAAGCUCUGUUGGAGAAGCUCAGUUUGGUGUUCCUUUCGCUUCGUGUGGGGGAUUGCUGGCUUCUCUUCUGCCUUGACUUUGUUCCCUGACUGCUUGUUCUCUUCAGCCUUGUUUCUCCCUCUGGUCCUUUUGGUCUUUUCCUGCCCGUGGCUCUUAGUUUUGCUGAUCUUUCUGGAUGCAGCUUUCUGAGGUUUGCCUUGAGAGUGCUUGGCCGUGUUCACAGGAGCCCUGUCACUGACUGCAGCGUGGCAGGUAACCACUUCUCCCCCUAACAGGCACUCUGGAUUCUUUGGCUGGAUUUUGGCCUUGGGAGCGCCGCUGAUAGGCUCAGAGGCUUUCUGUUUGUUCUUCCUGGGUUGAUCAGAGGGAACCUUUAUGACACUUGGCUUUUCCUGCACCUGAUUCACCUUAAAGGCUCUGGCAUCUUUGGCUUUGAUCCCGUUGGGACCUUGGGAUUGAUCAAGAUCUUUCAAAGAACUAAAGAGCUGGGGAAGGUGAAUAUCCUCCGCCAGUGUAGUAAUGUCUGCAAAACCACUGCUGGAUUCGAUCCCAUUUUCGAGUGUCCCUAGGUCCUCACGACUCAGGCUGUUCUUUCCCAGAUCAGCAUUUUCAGAACCAGGCUGCUCCUCUUGGCUGAGGGGAUCGGUGCAGGCCAGCGGCUGGUGAAUAUCAGGGAUUCCUAAAGGGAGUAGUGGAGUAUCUUGGUUUUCUUUUGGGAUGUGUUAGGCAUCCAGAAUCUUUGAAACCUUGGUUUUAAUAUCAUCCACGUUCUUACUCUCUAUUUGUCCCUGGCUUGGAGCUGGAGGCAGGGCCAGGAGACGCCUGGCACUCUGGACUGGAACUGUCACUGAAAUGUCCCCAAGUUCAGAUGCUGGGUUACUCUCAAAUAUGUGACUGUUUCUGCUACUGCAGGACUUGGGGAGUUCUUGAGUUUGUGUCACACAAAAUGUCUGGCUUGGAGGUUGCAAUCCCAGGGAAUUUUUCAUCACCAGGGAUGUCUCCGUCACUACAAAGGAAUCAAGGUAAAAGUCCAGUCCCUGGUAAGUGAGAUGCUCCCGCUAAACUCCAACACAGCAAUCAUGUACCGUUCAAGGUACAUGAUUGCUGUGUUGGUGUUUAGGGGCAGAAUGGGCGAGGCAUUUCUAGUAACUCUUCUUAAGGAUCAUGGACAAUGCCCUGUGCUACGAGAUAAGCGGUGACUGUUGUAGUUCUUACUGGUGAUCAUUUCAUGUCACUGAUUCUUGGCUUUCUUUGUAUUUCAUAGGAUUGUUAUAAGUCCGAUACAAAAUGAGUCUUAUUUUUAAAAAACUAAAGUGUUUUACAAAGCCUAGCAUUCUCAUGUAGAGUCUUUCCAAUUCUCCCCACUUUCCUGAGAGGCUAAGAACACUUCACACCAUGAACUAGGAGAGGGGGUAGAGCCCUUUCUGAUGAAAUACAUCAACAAAGACAGAGUCUUAGCCUGCUUGCUCUCUGGACAGGAUCUCGGACCACAAGGUCUUCAAUCCUGGUAUAAAUGAAGGAAGUGAGGACAGUUCAACUGGCACUCUCAUAACAAGAGUUCUGAAACACCUUCCAAAGAGACUGUAGCAGUAGAUCAGGGAAGGGAAUGCUACAGUGUGGUAGUACAGGGGGAAUGAUCGGCUACAGCAGUGAAAAAUGUGGUACCUAUUGGUGUGCUCUCGGGGUUCUUGUACAUGUAGCAUAGAUGACCUUUACAGUGUCCCUCCCACCUUCCCACCUGCAUUAGGUGUUCUGUUUUUUUUUUUUUAAUUUGUUUAUUUAUUUUUUGAACUUAUUUAUUUUAUGUAUUAAUUUUUUUGGCUGCACUGGGUCUCUCAUUGCUGUGCACGGGCUUUCUCUAGUUGCGGCUAGCGGGGGCUACUCUUGGUUGCGGUGUGCGGGUUUCUCAUUGCGGUGGCUUCUCUUGUUGCGGAGUAUGGGCUCUAGGCGCAUGGGCUUCAGUAGUUGUGGCUCCCGGGCUCUAGAAUGCAGGCUCAGUAGCUGUGGCACAUGCGCUUAGUCGCUCCACUGCAUCUGGGAUCUUCCCUGACCAGGCCUCGAACCCGUGUCCCCUGCCUUGGCAGGCGGAUUCUUAACCACGGCGCCACCAGGGAAGCCCUAGGUGUUCUCAUAUAGAGUCUAAAAACAGAGAGCACUGAGCGAAGGUAGUGGUUAUUAAAGGCUCAGGAUCUAAAUUCGACCUGUCUGUACACCACUUCCCAGCUGUAGAUUUGACCCCAUUUUUGAAUGCUGACCUCAUUCUUCAACUUUCUUGCUGUUUGUGGGGCUUGCACUUUGGCAUUUUCUUAAAAGCUAAACAUAAACUUACCAUAUGACCCAGCAAUUCCAGUCCUGCGUAUAUAUGCAAAAGAAAUGAAAACCUAUGUCCACAGAAAAACUUUUACAAAAAUGUUCAUAGCAGCAUGAUUCACGUUAUCCGGAAAAAAAAAAAAAAUGAAACAAUCCAAAUGUCCAACAACUGGCAACUGGAUAAACAAAAUGUGGUAGAGCCAUACAAUGGAAUACUAACCAGCAAUAAAAAGGAGUACUGGUACACACUAUAACAAGGAUGAAUCUUGAAAACAUCAUGCUAAGAAGCUAGAUGCAAAGACUAGAUAUUAUAUAAUUCUAUUUACAUGAAAUGUGCAGAAAAGGAAAAAGGCAGAUUGGAGGUUGUCUGGGGCUGGGAAUGUGGAUUGAUUGCAAACAGGUAUAAGGGACUUUUCUGGGUAACAGAAGUGUUCUAAAACUGGAUUGUGGUGAUGAUUGCACAGCUCUGUAAAUUUACUAAAAAUAAUUGAAUUGUAUACUUAAAAUGGAUGUAUUUUAUGGUAUGUAAAUUAAACUUCUAUAAAGUGUUUUAAAAAUCUCUGUAAAGAUAUGCCAGAACAAGUCACACUGAGUAGCUCUGGAAAGGAAAGAUGGGUGCCUGGGAAACGGGAGAGGGAAGACACUGUAUCAAAUACUCCUUUCUAUAUUUUUAAUUUUGUACCAUGUAUUGUCAGUUUAAGAAAUGAGAAUAAACAAAACAAAAACUUACAA